rnacentral:rRNA from 1 species
GACGAACGCUGGCGGCGUGCUUAACACAUGCAAGUCGAGCGGAAAGGCCACUUCGGUGGUACUCGAGCGGCGAACGGGUGAGUAACACGUGAGUAAUCUGCCCUUGGCUUUGGGAUAGCCACCGGAAACGGUGAUUAAUACCGGAUAUGACCACUUCACGCAUGUGAUGGUGGUGGAAAGUUUUUCGGCCAGGGAUGUGCUCGCGGCCUAUCAGCUUGAUGGUGAGGUAAUGGCUCACCAUGGCUUCGACGGGUAGCCGGCCUGAGAGGGUGACCGGUCACACUGGGACUGAGACACGGCCCAGACUCCUACGGGAGGCAGCAGUGGGGAAUAUUGGACAAUGGGCGGAAGCCUGAUCCAGCAACGCCGCGUGAGGGAUGACGGCCUUCGGGUUGUAAACCUCUUUCGCCUAUGACGAAGCGCAAGUGACGGUAAUAGGUAAAGAAGCACCGGCCAACUACGUGCCAGCCGCCGCCGUAAAAC